rnacentral:rRNA from 1 species
ACGCUCGACACCUACGGGGGGCAGCAGUGGGGAAUAUUGCACAAUGGGGGAAACCCUGAUGCAGCAACGCCGCGUGAAGGAAGACGGUUUUCGGAUUGUAAACUUCUGUUCUUAGUGAAGAUAGUGACGGUAGCUAAGGAGCAAGCCACGGCUAACUACGUGCCAGCAGCCUCGGUAAUCUGAGCGGGCUGGCAAGGC